GCCGCAUUAGCUCAGUUGGUAGAGCAACCGCCUUGUAAGUGGUAGGUCGUCGGUUCAAGUCCGACAUGCGGCUCCA
rnacentral:tRNA from 1 species